GACGAACGCUGGCGGCGCGCCUAACACAUGCAAGUCGAACGAGAGAGAGGGAGCUUGCUUCCUCGAUCGAGUGGCGAACGGGUGAGUAACGCGUGAGGAACCUGCCUCAAAGAGGGGGACAACAGUUGGAAACGACUGCUAAUACCGCAUAAGCCCACGGCUCGGCAUCGAGCAGAGGGAAAAGGAGCAAUCCGCUUUGAGAUGGCCUCGCGUCCGAUUAGCUAGUUGGUGAGGUAACGGCCCACCAAGGCGACGAUCGGUAGCCGGACUGAGAGGUUGAACGGCCACAUUGGGACUGAGACACGGCCCAGACUCCUACGGGAGGCAGCAGUGGGGAAUAUUGCACAAUGGGGGAAACCCUGAUGCAGCGACGCCGCGUGGAGGAAGAAGGUCUUCGGAUUGUAAACUCCUGUUGUUGAGGAA
rnacentral:rRNA from 1 species